UACAGAGGUCCCAAGCGUUGUUCGGAUUCACUGGGCGUAAAGAGCUCGUAGGCGGUCUGUUGCGUCGGCGUGUCGAAAACCCGGGGCUCAACUCCGGGCCUGCAGCCGAUACGGGCAGACUAGAGUUCGGCAGGGGAGACUGGAAUUCCUGGUGUAGCGGUGAAAUGCGUAGAUAUCUGGAGGAACACCGGUGGCGAAGGCGGCAA
rnacentral:rRNA from 1 species